rnacentral:RNase_P_RNA from 1 species
GGGGCGGGUCGGGCAAUCGCGGUGCGCAGGCAUCGAGGAAGGUCCGGACUCCGCAGGGCAGGGUAGCGGCUAACAGCCGCCCGGCGUCGCGGCGCGCAAGCGUCGCCAAGCCGAGGAACAGGGCCACAGAGACGAGUCUGCGGCGAGGGCCUUCGGGCACCGGCACGGCCAUCUCCGUGCUGCAUGGUGGCUUGCCAUCAUGGCGCUGCAGGGUGAAACGCGGCAACCUCUACCCGGAGCAACAUCAAAUAGGCAUGCGUCGGGCUCGCAAGAGCUCUCAGGGCGGCCCGCCCGAGCAUGCGGGUAGAUGGCAAGAGCGUGUCAGCAAUGGCGCGCCCAGAUGAAUGAUUGCCCGUCGGCUAUCCGGCGUACAGAAUCCGGCCUACAGAUCCGCCCCACUU